CAUGCUUAACACAUGCAAGUCGAACGAAGUUAAAAUUAUGCUUUGCAUAGUUUUAAACUGAGUGGCGGACGGGUGAGUAACACGUAAGAACUUACCUUUUGGUGAGGGAUAACUACUGGAAACGGUAGCUAAUACCUCGUAUAGCUGAGAAGUGAAAGAUUUAAAAUCGCCAAAAAAUGGGCUUGCGUCUGAUUAGCUAGUUGGUGAGGUAAUAGCUUACCAAGGCAAUGAUCAGUAGCUGUUCUGAGAGGAUGAUCAGCCACACUGGGACUGAGACACGGCCCAGACUCCUACGGGAGGCAGCAGUGAGAAAUUUUCCGCAAUGGGCGAAAGCCUGACGGAGCAAUGCCGCGUGAAGGAUGACGGCCUAUGGGUUGUAAACUUCUUUUCUCAGAGAAGAAUUUUGACGGUAUCUGAGGAAUAAGCAUCGGCUAACUCUGUGCCAGCAGCCGCGGUAAGACAGAGGAUGCAAGCGUUAUCCGGAAUGAUUGGGCGUAAAGCGUCUGUAGGUGGUCUAUCAAGUCUUCUGUCAAAGAUCAGGGCUUAACUCUGGGCAGGCAGGAGAAACUAGUAGACUAGAGUUCGGUAGGGGCAGAGGGAAUUCCCGGUGGAGCGGUGAAAUGCGUAGAGAUCGGGAGGAACACCAAAGGCGAAAGCACUCUGCUGGGCCGCGACUGACACUGAGAGACGAAAGCGAGGGGAGCAAAUGGGAUUAGAUACCCCAGUAGUCCUCGCCGUAAACGAUGGAUACUAGGUGUUGGAUGUAUUCAAAUCAUUCAGUACCGUAGCUAACGCGUGAAG
rnacentral:rRNA from 1 species